rnacentral:rRNA from 1 species
CAGUAGCCGCGGGAAUACGAAGGGGGCUAGCGUUGUUCGGAUUUACUGGGCGUAAAGGGUGCGUAGGCGGAUUGUUAAGUCAGGGGUGAAAUCCCGAGGCUCAACCUCGGAACUGCCUUUGAUACUGGCGAUCUUGAGUCCGGGAGAGGUGAGUGGAACUGCGAGUGUAGAGGUGAAAUUCGUAGAUAUUCGCAAGAACACCGGUGGCGAAGGCGGCUCACUGGCCCGGUACUGACGCUGAGGCACGAAAGCGUGGGGAGCAAACAGGAUUAGAUACCCGCGUAGUCCCUGUCUCUUAUAC